AACUCUGAUAGGGUGAAACCAAUAUGCAUAGACUAGGUCAUCUCUAUACAAGGCAAGGUUUUAGAAGUAGUUUGCUAGUUGAUAUGACAACAAACUCGAAAGUAAUUUCAUUUAUUUCAUCUAAAGUCCUAAAUGAUGGCUAGAUAUCUUAAAUAAGUCAAAAUAAAAUACUUAAUAUCGGAUCAAAAGAAUGGAGAAGUUGCGAGACUAUAGCAAUUGCAGGGGGGGGG
rnacentral:misc_RNA from 1 species